rnacentral:lncRNA from 1 species
ACGCCAGCAGGUGAGGAGGCUGGGGCCAGAUGACUGCUAGUGAGGGAGCAGAGACAAGACAGGCGAGCCUGUGACAGAGCGAGACCCUGUCUCAAAAAACAAAAACAAGACAUGUGAGCUUGGACUCCAGUGUGGAAUCCCAUGUCCGCUCAGUGCACCUUUCUCCCGCUGAAAGUACAAGAGGAGAGGGGAAACCCACAGGUGGAGCUGACCAUGAGGACUGUCACAGCUUUGAGAGGCAAACCCAGAAAUCAGCCCUCCAGCUUCCUCUACCAAGAAGACUGGCGGUUACAACCCUGGCUCUGUGGGGCUUCUCUUGCCCUCUCUUCUGACUGCCCCACUUGGCUCCAGGUGAGGGUGAGAGGAAGCUGGAGAUGGAAGAUGCAGCUGGGGGAACUCACCAGGCAGGUCUCAGGGAACUCUUUGAAUAAGAGGACACCAGAUCAUGCCUGCAGUUCCAGACCAGGAGCAACUAGCACCAGCCUCAGCAUGGAGCAGGACUUCAGUUCCAGCAGCGAGGACUGAGAUCAGACACAAGAGAAAGCUCCCUGAUGAGGUGGGGUGAUUCUAAAACGAAGGGCGGAAAUUAUCUGGGGAAUUUCCUUCCCGUGAAGCCUCAGGAACAUGCCAGUCCCCCACUUCGGUCUGUCCUGGGGGGUCUCACGCCCCUGUCCUCCUAGGGAAAUCUAGAUCCUCCAAACUCUGCCUGGGUUCUUCCUGGGGAGUCUUGACCCCUGCCUUGUGGUUAAUGUGGGAUAGGGGACCCGGGAACAGGGCUGCCUUCCUCUGGCCAAAGCCUGGCAAGCAAGUGUGGGAUGGGUGCUGUCUUCCUGAGAGGGACAAUAGAAGUGACAGAGCCCCCUAAUUCAAGACCCUGCAGAGUUGGUGUGAGAUCUUAUAAUAUCAGUCUCUAAGCCAGUGCCUCUCAAGCUCUCUGUGGUGAAGAAUCAAUUUUUAAAAUAUAUAAUCAGUCACAGAUCAAUGCUUUUGUAAAAUGCAAUAAAAGUUAAUUUCCAAAAAAA